GACGAACGCUGGCGGCGUGCUUAACACAUGCAAGUCGAGCGAUGAAACUACUUCGGUAGUGAAUUAGCGGCGAACGGGUGAGGAACACGUGAGGAAUCUGCCUUCUACACUGGGAUAACUCCGGGAAACCGGGGCUAAUACCGGAUAUGAAACUUGGUGGCAUCACCGAGUUUGGAAAGUUUUUCGGUAGAAGAUGACCUCGCGGCCUAUCAGCUUGUUGGUGAGGUAAUGGCUCACCAAGGCGACGACGGGUAGCCGGCCUGAGAGGGCGACCGGCCACACUGGGACUGAGACACGGCCCAGACUCCUACGGGAGGCAGCAGUGAGGAAUUUUCCGCAAUGGGCGAAAGCCUGACGGAGCAAUACCGCGUGGAGGAGGAAGGCCCGUGGGUCGUAAACUCCUUUUCUCAGAGAAGAACACAAUGACGGUAUCUGAGGAAUAAGCAUCGGCUAACUCCGUGCCAGCAGCCGCGGU
rnacentral:rRNA from 1 species